UUAAACGAAUGCCAAAGUGCUGUCUAAACAAGACUAUACUUUGUGAAUUUCGUUAAGGUUCGAAUCUCGUGACCAUCGUUAGGUUUGAUUAGGUUUAACACUAAUACGUAUUCCAUUCCGUUAAACUAAAUGUUUAACUACUCGAAACUCUACCCCGUACACUUACAAUCAAACAAGCUGUUUAAUCAUCAGAAGGUUCAGAAUAAUAAAGUAUAUGCUUAAUCAUCGGAAGGAGUAGAAUCAAGAAGCAUGUUAAAUCAAUAUUGCGUGCUUAUAGUGCAAAUUUGAAAAUGCAUGGGGAGUUGUUUGGCCAUUUAAUGCACAUCGGAAGUAAUCAUAUCAACUCUCUCUUUCUUGAAAAGGGAUCGUGUAUAAUUGUUGUUACAUCUAUACAACAAAAUGGAGUUUGGUUGGUCUGAGAUGUCUAUUUAGCUGUAUGUGAUUACGCUCUGUUUGUGUGGCCAGUUUACUGUGAAUUUGGUUGACUCAUCGUUUGUAAAUUGGUUCGUGUGGCCAUUGAUAAAGAGUGAUUGUGAAGAUGUUAAGGUUGAAGCAACUGUCUCCUACAGAUCAGGUGGUUACUCUCAAUUCUCGAUUGUUGUUCAAUCAGAAAGAUAAGGUACUUUUUCCAUCCCUGAAGAUGCUCUUGGUAUGUUUGUUCUUAGUCGUGAUUGGUAAUUUCAAGAAUUUGUAGUUUGAUAAAGGUUUCAUCUUUUUUGAUUCGUUUUGUUUGUGGUAAUGAUUUUUGUUUUGUUGUAGUGUUUGAUUUGUUUUUUAAUUAUUUUGGUUGGCUGAUACACGAGAAUCACCCGUAGAACUCACCACCAGAACCAUCGGGCAUGUCAAAAAAGAUGAUCAUGAAGCCAACAACAACAACUUACAUAAACAAUCACUGGUUAAUUCAACAUACAGGCAAGUCUGGAUGGAUUGUUUAUACAUUCAAUGAUCUUUAUUUGUUUUUCAUUCAGUUUACUUUUCACUUAAACGUGUUUUGAUGAUAAUAACAAUUUGCUGAUUACGAUGAUGGUUAGUUUGAUAAGCAGCAAACCGGUGGACACAUCUGGAGGCUGCGGUGCAACACUUCAAGUUUGCCAAGAAGCCGAAUAACAGUACAAUUGACAUCAUAUCACACAGACUAAACAACAAUUCUUCGGGAAAAACCGGUUAGUGCAUUCAGGAGUUAAUAAUCUGAAUUAUGGAUUGUUAUUAAGAUGGUUGUAAAUUGGUUCUUUGUUGUUAGCUGAUGUUGCGAUUCUUGAAUAAGUGAGAAUUCGGUGCCAUAUAAUUAAGUACAGGUUAUACUUCAAGCUUUUUUGAUUUCUUUGCAGGCAGAUAGGUGGCUUUGGGAGGUAUGAAAAACAGAAUUGAUAAAUUUAGGGAAAAUGUCAUUGAAAGAUGAUAAUGCAAUAGUGGAGGAUCUAAUUCUACAGCUUCGAUAAAUUCAGGUGUGUUUUCAAAUAAUGCUUUCUAGAUGUUUGAAGACCGACAAAUGUCCAACGAAGCAGCACUGUGGACAUUUGUCGUUCUUUGUCGGUUUUCAAACAUCUAUGAACCAUUAUUUGAGAACACCCCUGCAUUUAUCGGAGCUGUAGAAUUAGAUCCUCUACUGUUGGGUUAUCAUCUUUCAAACCCAUUUUCCCUAAAUUUAUCGAUUUUGUUUUUCAUGCAGGAAUAUAAUCUGUUUUUUAGUAUUUGAUUUGGCCGAUGACCCAUGUUCAAGGAUGCUUUAUGUUUCAGACUAUACCAAGAUUUCCUCUUGGUUAUCAUAAGGUCUCAUUGCAUCUAAUCACAGCAACCAACAUUGAGCCAUCACAUUCUUUCCGUUUACAUCUCAGGUAGGUUGGGUAUUGAAAUCAAGAAAUUCAGCGCCACUUGCAUAUAUGGUUUCAAGGUCAAUAUUUUGCUUGAAACAGAGACAGGGGACUUUUGUUUCUGAAUGUUUUGUAGCUUCACUUAUGACUUAUGCUUGGUGUUGCUGUCAAUUCAUAACUAUAAUGCGAAUGUGAUGUUCUUGCAAUUAUUUACUCACAUCAUAUUUUACAUAUAGAUGUAGGAAAAAAACUUUGCACAUUAUAAACUACUUAGUUUAUUUCUAUAUCAAACAUGUACACUAACUCAUACUGUCUUUAACAUUGUUUUAUAAAGAUAUGUAACUA